GGUUCGACUCGAGCGCAGCGAGAGAACGUUGCGUCAGCAACGGCCCUCAGGGCGAGCCACGCAGUGGCGAGUCAUCCUCUAUCACCGACCA
rnacentral:sRNA from 1 species